rnacentral:rRNA from 1 species
CAUGGCUGUCGUCAGCUCGUGUCGUGAGGUGUUGGGUUAAGUCCCGCAACGAGCGCAACCCCUGCCAAUAGUUGCCAUCAGUUCGGCUGGGCACUCUAUUGGGACUGCCGGUGUUAAACCGGAGGAGGGUGGGGAUGACGUCAAGUCCUCAUGGCCUUUAUGCCCAGGGCUACUCACGUGCUACAAUGGCCGGGACAGACGGCCGCGAACCGGCAACGGGGAGCCAAUCCGAAAAACCCGGUCUCAGUUCGGAUUGGAGUCUGCAACUCGACUCCAUGAAGGCGGAAUCGCUAGUAAUCGCGGAUCAGCACGCCGCGGUGAAUACGUUCCCGGGCCUUGUACACACCGCCCGUCACACCACGAAAGCUGGCUGAACCAGAAGGCGGCAACCCAACCUUCGGGAGGGAAUCGCCCAAGGUUUGGCUGGUGAUUGGGGUGAAGUCGUAACAAGGUAGCCGUAGGGGAACCUGUGGCUGGAUCACCUCCUUU